UACGGAGGUGGCAAGCGUUGUUCGGAAUUACUGGGCGUAAAGGGCGCGUAGGCGGCAAGGCAAGUCAGGUGUGAAAGCCCCGAGCUUAACUCGGGAAUUGCAUCUGAAACUGCUGUGCUUGAGUUCUGGAGGGGGUAGUGGAAUUCCCAGUGUAGCGGUGAAAUGCGUAGAUAUUGGGAGGAACACCUGCGGCGAAGGCGGCUACCUGGACAGAAACUGACGCUGAGGCGCGAAAGCUAGGGGAGCGAACAGG
rnacentral:rRNA from 1 species